AUUGAACGCUGGCGGCAGGCUUAACACAUGCAAGUCGAGCGAGCGGCGGACGGGUGAGUAAUGUCUUGGAUACUGCCUGAUUGAGGGGGAUAACUACUGGAAACGGUAGCUAAUACCGCAUUCCAUCAGUUUUGCCCAGGUGGGAUUAGCUUGUUGGUGGGGUAAUGGCUCACCUAGGCGACGAUCCCUAGCUGGUCUGAGAGGGUGACCAGCCAAACUGGAACGGAGACACGGUCCAGACUCCUACGGGAGGCAGCAGUGGGGAAUAUUGCACAAUGGGCGCAAGCCUGAUGCAGCAAUGCCGCGUGUGUGAAGAAGGCCUUCGGGUUGUAAAGCACUUUCAGCGAGGAGGCGUUACUCGCAGAAGAAGCACCGGCUAACUCCGUGCCAGCAGCCGCGGUAAUUC
rnacentral:rRNA from 1 species